rnacentral:rRNA from 1 species
UGGGGAAUAUUGCGCAAUGGGGGAAACCCUGACGCAGCGACGCCGCGUGUGGGAUGAAGGUCUUCGGAUUGUAAACCACUGUCGCGAGGGACGAAGCUCUGACGGUACCUCGAAAGGAAGCACCGGCUAACUACGUGCCAGCAGCCGCGGUAAUACGUAGGGUGCGAGCGUUAAUCGGAAUUACUGGGCGUAAAGCGUGCGCAGGCGGCUCCUUAAGUCAGAUGUGAAAUCCCCGGGCUUAACCUGGGAACUGCGUUUGAAACUGGGGAGCUAGGGUGUGGAAGAGGGGGUGGAAUUCCAGGUGUAGCAGUGAAAUGCGUAGAGAUCUGGAGGAACACCGAUGGCGAAGGCAGCCCCCUGGGCUAACACUGACGCUCAUGCACGAAAGCGUGGGGAGCAAACAGGAUUAGAUACCCGAGUAGUCCCUG